AGUGAACGCUGGCGGCGUGCCUAAUACAUGCAAGUCGAACGGAGUGGCGCACGGGUGAGUAAUAUAUAGCUAAUCUGCCCCUUGCUGGAGGAAAACAGUUAGAAAUGACUGCUAAUACUCCAUAGCAAGGGAUGAGACUAUAUCGUAGCCGCUCGUCGGUGGGGGAACGGCCUACAGAGUGGAUGACGAGUAACUGGGCUGAGAGGAUGAGCGGGCAACUGCGAACGGAGAUACGGUCCAAACUACUACGGGAUGCAGCAGGAGGGAAUAUCGCGCAAUGGGGGAAACCCUGAUGCAGCAACGACGCGUGGAGGAUGACACGUUUCGGAGCGUAAACUCCUUUUGUUAGGGAAGCGGUACCUAACGAAGAAGCACCGGCUAACUCCGUGCCAGCAGCCGCGGUAAUAC
rnacentral:rRNA from 1 species